rnacentral:rRNA from 1 species
AUUGAACGCUGGCGGCAUGCCUUACACAUGCAAGUCGAACGGUAACGGGCCUUCGGGUGCCGACGAGUGGCGAACGGGUGAGUAAUACAUCGGAACGUGCCCGAUCGUGGGGGAUAACGAGGCGAAAGCUUUGCUAAUACCGCAUACGAUCUACGGAUGAAAGCAGGGGACCGCAAGGCCUUGCGCGGACGGAGCGGCCGAUGGCAGAUUAGGUAGUUGGAGGGAUAAAAGCGUACCAAGCCGACGAUCUGUAGCUGGUCUGAGAGGAUGAUCAGCCACACUGGGACUGGGACACGGCCCAGACUCCUACGGGAGGCAGCAGUGGGGAAUUUUGGACAAUGGGCGCAAGCCUGAUCCAGCCAUGCCGCGUGCAGGAUGUAGGCCUUCGGGUUGUAAACUGCUUUUGUACGGAACGAAAAGCCUUCUUCUAAUACAGGAGGGUCAUGACGGUACCGUAAGAAUAAGCACCGGCUAACUACGUGACAGCCGCCGCAGUAA